GUGUGUGUUGUGUGUGGUGUGUGUGUGUGUGUGUGUGUGUGUGUGUACGUAUGUGUGUUUGUAUACGUAUGUGUGUGUUCUCGAUCGUUACUAGACAACUCCUGAUGUGUUUGCGUCCCCGUAACUUAGCUGCUCGGCAAAGAGACCGAUAGAAUAAGUAAUAAACUUUAAAAAAAGAUAAGGACCAGGGUCGAUUCAUUCAGCUGAAAAUUCCUCAAGGCGGUGCUCCAGCAUGGUCGCGGUCUAAUGACUGAAAUAAGUAAAAGAUAAAAGAUAAACGGUAAUCUCCAAAACAUAUGAUCAAUAGGAUCGGGGUCCGCUCCCAUAAAAGAGGCGUUGCUAUUGCUACGAAUACAGGCAUCGUAGACUGCGUCCAGAGAAGAGCCACUGGACUGAUUGGUAUUAAAUCAUUUAUACGCUCCGGCCUCUGGCUCACAGAUGUGCUGUUUCUUUUCUCUUGUGUUUUUUUCUAUUGGUACAAUAAUGGUACAAUAAUGGAGCAUCGUUCAAACAUCCACGAUUCACUUGUCCCUCUACCCCUCAUCACUCCUGUUGCGUCCAACCCCAUCGGUUCCGCUCUAACCAUUUUGCUGAAUUGUUAAAUGAUUUCGGUCAAGAUGGAAAAAGCGCAUUCGUGAAAGAAUUGAAAGCUCGCUGUGACCAAUGAUAUAGUCUGCUCAAUACGGUAAACAGUUAUAAAUGACAAAAACAUUCAAUUUGUUUUAUAAGUGUAUACUGAGAUCAAUUUUCCUUCACUAUUCGAUAGAAAGUACAAAUCUAGUACUGAGUGUCGAUGUAAUCAACUUACCCAUCCGCUCAAAAUUUCGGUCCUUGUACCAAAACUUGGAAAGAGAAUUAAGUUUUAAAUCUAAGAGAAAACAUCUGAAAAUGAAAGUAUUGAAAGAACUGGGGUUAAGUAGGAACAAACAUAGUCUUAACUGUUUGACUUCCGAUGUUAUGACACCUUUUCAUGUUAUAUCAAUGUCUGGCAAAAGUAACUGUUGUAAGUUGUAGGUGUUUAGUUCCAGGUGAACUCUGAUCAAGCAGAGUUCCAGUCGUAGCCAUUGCUUAUUUUCAGACAAUAUAUCCAGAACUACAUUACCCAACGUAUUCUUCCUUUUGUCUAAAUCGUAAACUGUGGCUUCAUGAGAAAUUUAAUUUAGCUACUAUUUCUAGCAAGUUCAUUAACCGUACAGAGUCUCCUUGUUGUCCCGUAUAGAUAACGUGUAAUGACUUCAACCAGGAAGAGAAUCGAUGUCGCUGACUCGAUUAACCAGGAGUUUAUAUUUGUUCCAGGAUAUUCAACUCAAAUUUACAAAGUAAACAAAUGAAUAAAUAAAUGAAGCAAAACUACAAAA